rnacentral:rRNA from 1 species
GACGAACGCUGGCGGCGUGCUUAACACAUGCAAGUCGAACGGUAAGGCCCUUCGGGGUACACGAGUGGCGAACGGGUGAGUAACACGUGGGUGAUCUGCCCUGCACUUCGGGAUAAGCCUGGGAAACUGGGUCUAAUACCGGAUAGGACCACUGCCUGCAUGGGGGGUGGUGGAAAGCUUUUGCGGUGUGGGAUGGGCCCGCGGCCUAUCAGCUUGUUGGUGGGGUGAUGGCCUACCAAGGCGACGACGGGUAGCCGGCCUGAGAGGGUAACCGGCCACACUGGGUCUGAGACACGGCCCAGACUCCUACGGGAGGCAGCAGUGGGGAAUAUUGCACAAUGGGCGCAAGCCUGAUGCAGCGACGCCGCGUGAGGGAUGACGGCCUUCGGGUUGUAAACCUCUUUCAGCACCGACGAAGCGCAAGUGACGGUAGGUGCAGAAGAAGGACCGGCCAACUACGUGCCAGCAGCCGCAGUAA